GGUGAAUUGGAAUAAUCUAGGCCGAAAAAACUGAACUAGAAAUAUUUGAAUGUGAAUGGUUUUGAAGUUUAGCCAUAUAUUUCGUCAGAUUUUGCAAUUCUCCUUGCCUAUUCACUUUUUAGUGAAUAGACCCUAUAAAAACUUACAGGGCUCUUGCUGUAAACUUGCCACUGCAACUGUGCUCUUGCUGUAGACUUGCCACAGCAAUUUUGCUUUUGCUGUAGACUCACAGGGCUCUGGCUGUAGACUUGUCACUGCAAUUUUGCUCUUGCUCGUGACUUGCCAAGCAAAUGUUCUACAAAUUUAAAAAGUGUCAACUAGAACUUGAGCUGCAAGAGCUCUGCUAGUGAAUCACUUGCCAGUGAAAAUGUGCAGCAAGUUAAACAGACUUACAGUUUAAGUCUUCCACACAUUUGUGGCAAGUUAUCCUUGCUAUCUGGGAAAAAGGCUGAAGGAGUGACCUGUACUGGGUGUCCACGCUACUAGACCCCUGGUAUAAGCAGAAAGUGCCUGAAAUGUUACCGAAUUACGGCAAGUCGGAAAGGAUGCAGCAGUUCCAAAAUCAAUUAAAAAGUAUGCUUUACACCGCGUAUAAUGGUGAUGUCACAGCACAACGGGAAUCUAUCAGGGGAAGAGGUGAAAGUAAUCCUCCUCCCACGACCACCCGGCAAGGACAGGACGCUUUACAGACGUGUUGAUUGAGGACAUGCUGAGCUUUUUAAGUCCUACGCAUCGCCACUGCCCUUCGGGGUCCACCCUCAGAACGACUCGACCGACAGGUAGCAGACUACCUCGCCUUAACUGCAGAUAUCGACACUGAGGAGCGAUGAACCCCUUGACUACUGGGUGUGCAGGCUUGACCUGUGGCCUGAGCAAUCCCAAUUUGCGAUAGAACUUCUGGCCUGCCCCGCUUCAAG